UGUUUGAACAUUCUCAGUUUCUACUGCCUUUCGGUUUGGCCAAACGCAGCGGCGUGUGGUGCCUCUCGCUCUGCAGGACUGAGCCACGGUUUGCUCCUCAUUGUGCACUUGUGUACCUGGUGGUCUUCACAUCAUUCUGAAGUUGAAUCAGGCCUGGUGGCACAGCAGCUCACAGCUCCAAGAAGCUUGGAGACCACGUAGCCCUGAGAUGGCAGACCGCGACUGUGGAUAGAACAACACGCCAUGUUGGACACCAGCUCUUCAUGACGCUGAACUGAAUAAGCCAGAAAAUGAACAAACAAAAAUAUAAAUCCUUGGUCUUGUUUAGUAAAAUAUGUCAUUAAUAACAGA